GAGUUUGAUCCUGGCUCAGAACGAACGCUGGCGGCAUGCCUAACACAUGCAAGUCGAACGGGAUCCAGCCUUCGGGUUCGGUGAGAGUGGCGGACGGGUGAGUAACGCGUGGGAACCUGCCCAGUGGUGGGGGAUAACUGCGGGAAACUGCAGCUAAUACCGCAUGAGCCCGAGAGGGGAAAGAUUUAUCGCCAUUGGAGGGGCCCGCGUUCGAUUAGGUAGUUGGUGGGGUAAUGGCCUACCAAGCCGACGAUCGAUAGCUGGUCUGAGAGGAUGAUCAGCCACACUGGGACUGAGAUACGGCCCAGACUCCUACGGGAGGCAGCAGUGGGGAAUAUUGGACAAUGGGGGCAACCCUG
rnacentral:rRNA from 1 species